UUCGCAAUGCCCGAAAGGGUGACGAAGCGACGCCGCGUGUGGGAAGAAGGCCUUCGGGUUGUAAACCACUGUCGGGAGUUAAGAAGUGUAGUGAUGUUAAUAGCAUCGCUACUUGACUAAGGCUCCGGAGGAAGCCACGGCUAACUCUGUGCCAGCAGCCGCGGUAAUACAGAGGCGGCAAGCGUUGUUCGGAAUUAUUGGGCGUAAAGAGCACGUAGGCGGCCUUGCAAGUCAGUUGUGAAAGCCUUCCGCUCAACGGAAGAAUGCCAGCUGAUACUAUAGGGCUUGAGUACGGGAGGGGAGAGUGGAACUUCUGGUGGAGCGGUGAAAUGCGUAGAUAUCAGAAGGAACGCCGGCGGCGAAAGCGGCUCUCUGGCCCGUAACUGACGCUGAGUGUGCGAAAGCUAGGGGAGCAAACGGGAUUAGAUACCCCGGUAGUCCUAGCCGUAAACGAUGGGCACUAAGUAGAGGGGUUUU
rnacentral:rRNA from 1 species